rnacentral:rRNA from 1 species
AGUGAACGCUGGCGGUAGGCCUAACACAUGCAAGUCGAACGGCAGCACAGUAAGAGCUUGCUCUUACGGGUGGCGAGUGGCGGACGGGUGAGGAAUACAUCGGAAUCUACUUUUUCGUGGGGGACAACGUAGGGAAACUUACGCUAAUACCGCAUACGACCUACGGGUGAAAGCAGGGGAUCUUCGGACCUUGCGCGAUUGAAUGAGCCGAUGUCGGAUUAGCUAGUUGGCGGGGUAAAGGCCCACCAAGGCGACGAUCCGUAGCUGGUCUGAGAGGAUGAUCGGCCACACUGGAACUGAGACACGGUCCAGACUCCUACGGGAGGCAGCAGUGGGGAAUAUUGGGCAAUGGGCGCAAGCCUGAUCCAGCCAUACCGCGUGGGUGAAGAAGGCCUUCGGGUUGUAAAGCCCUUUUGUUGGGAAAGAAAAGCAGCAGGUUAAUACCCCGCUGUUCUGACGGUACCCAAAGAAUAAGCACCGGCUAACUUCGUG